CGCCUCUUGCUAACAAAGGAAGUACUAGAGGUCCCGCCUGCCCUGUGACCACAAAGUUUAACGGCCGCGGUAUCCUGACCGUGCGAAGGUAGCGUAAUCAUUUGUCUUUUAAAUAGAGACCUGUAUGAAUGGCAUAACGAGGGUUUAACUGUCUCCUUCCCCUAGUCAAUGAAAUUGAUCUGCCCGUGCAGAAGCGGACAUAAACACAUAAGACGAGAAGACCCUAUGGAGCUUUAGACAAAAGAUCAAACAUGUAAAGAAACCAAACCAACCAAAAGGAACACGAAGGCCACAAAACCCAACGUAAACUGAUCUAAAUGUCUUCGGUUGGGGCGACCAUGGGGGAAAGAAAAGCCCCCACGAGGAACAGGGACAACCCCUAAACUAAGAGAGACACCUCUAAGCAACAGAAAAUCUGACCAAAAUGACCCAGGAUACUAAUCCUGAUCAACGAACCAAGUU
rnacentral:rRNA from 1 species